rnacentral:lncRNA from 1 species
GAAGCAUGCCAACACACACCUAAUUCAGGCAUUUAGUAUUUCAUAAAAUGUAGAAGAUAGAAACAAUAAGAUCAAUUCAUAAACAUAGAUUUCUUAAAAAUCAUCUCCAUUGCAAGUUAUAGGAUUCCAUCAAUUACAGAAGCAGGUAAGGAGUUAGAUGGUAGACAAGAUAAACAGGUCGAGAACAUGAUCCUCAUUCUUUUCAGCAGUUAGAAACAUGUGCAAAACUGAGCUGAAAACAAUGAAUACAAAAUUAUCUUGCCAGUAAAAUGCCGUCGAAGAAGAAGAUCCCAAUCAACUGGAGAAUGUAUCCGAUGGUAGUCUCCAGGCUUCAAGUAAAUUACACAAUAGAAGAGGCCUUUCGGUGGGCUGCAUAAAUUAAUCACACCAUAAAUCCAAUUGCCAAGGUAAAUAUCGUACGUUUACUUAUACUCAAAAACAUAUUUUAACUUCUAUAAAGUUGGAUCUAAUAUUAGUAACUGUUUCAUUAGGAAUUACAGAUCAGGUUACUGCAAGAAAAAUAAAAACUAAUAAUUAAAUAACUGAGCAUUUAAUUCUUCAACUUGAACCAAAAACUGAUAAAAGUCUAAAGGCAUAUUAUUGCAUUAUAUGAUGUAAAAUGCUACUUUAAACUAAUUCAAUGUUUACCGGGAUGAUGCAUUAUCUCUAACUUUAGGAGAAGCCAAGAAGGAAAUACUCCACCAUGACUUCUGGUUCACAUCUCUCACAGUUUUCUCUUCCUCGCCACUAUCUUCAUUAGCAUCUUCUGCAGCAAUCAUAGGGAGAUGCGAGUUUGCACCAAGAAGGGAAGAAGCAGAAUAAGAACAUCCCUUCACUUGCUCAAUCAUAGCCCCUGGUCCUCUUAACUCACCGAAUCUGAGAACGGUCCCAUCUACAGGACUGGCCUAUAGCAGGAAUAAAAUUAGUACACAGUGCUCAAGCGGUCCAGAAAUAGCACAGCCACUAUGGAAGGAAGUAGAUAUCCAGAACUUGUUACCAGUUACCAGACAAUAAGGGUCACAAUCGAUAGGCCUGGAGCUUUCUUUCAACUUGCGAACAAAAAAUUCUCUUAGGCUAGCAUAUUCUUCCAAUGGUAGUUGAGCUUCUUCCAAGUCUAAUUUACAUAGAGAAAAAGAAGUUCAGCAGUUUUAUUUGCAUUUUUUCGUUAGCAAACUAAAAAUGGAUUUAACGUAAAGACUUUACGAAGAAUGUUGACGUGGAUCAGGAAACAUACUAGAGUGAAAAGCUCGAGCCCAUGCUUUAUAUACAUAUGGCCGUAACCAAAUGGGAAUUCCUGGUCAAGGAUUAAUUUAGCGCAUAACUUAAGUCAUUCAUGAUAUAUUAGCUCAAGGAAUAUUGUUAUACUCACCAUACCAGUCAAGGAACCCCAAAACCUUGAAAUAGAGCGCAAGGGUAGUAAUCUCAAGAAUCUAGCCUAUCACCAAUGAAAGUGUGGCAUAAAAAUCAUAUACUGCACCAUUUACAUGUAAUAGCACAGAAAAGAGAAGGAUUUACCUUCACAUCUGGGUGGAACUCUAAUUCAAUACCCUUAGCCCUGGCCUCUUCUAUCUAUUUCGCAAACAAUUAAAAAGAUAGACACAAGCACAGACUGGUAAGAUACAUUAUUGGCAGAAUAACAAUACNCAAUGAUGAUGAUGAUGCUGCAAACAGAAAAUUCAUUGCCUAUGGACAAGGAUUACCCGUUCAUUUUCAACAUACAAAUUUCUGAUAGUUCUCGUAGCGCGCUCAUUCAUUGGAAAGAGAUUACCUACAAGGAACAUAGCAAUGGAAUUAACAAUCUACAAAUUAUAUGGGAGGAUAUACAUGAUAAAUUAGGGCAUAUAAUAACUUAAUUGCUCGGAACUAAAAAAAAGUUUCCUGAUUGUGAUAGUGCCGAAACUAUUUCCAACUAAUUGCAGUUAUGAGAUUAUGUUUUCAUGUUCAUUGACAACAAACUCCAAAAGAAGCAUGCCAACACACACCUAAUUCAGGCAUUUAGUAUUUACAUAAAAUAGUAGAAGAUAGAAACAAUAAGAUCAAUUCAUAAACAUAGAUUUCUUAAAAAUCAUCUCCAUUGCAAGUUAUAGGAUUCCAUCAAUUACAGAAGCAGGUAAGGAGUUAGAUGGUAGACAAGAUAAACAGGUCGAGAACAUGAUCCUCAUUCUUUUCAGCAGUUAGAAACAUGUGCAAAACUGAGCUGAAAACAAUGAAUACAAAAUUAUCUUGCCAGU